rnacentral:rRNA from 1 species
AUUGAACGCUGGCGGCAUGCCUUACACAUGCAAGUCGAACGGUAACGCGGGGCAACCUGGCGACGAGUGGCGAACGGGUGAGUAAAGCAUCGGAACGUGCCCAGUAGUGGGGGAUAGCCCGGCGAAAGCCGGAUUAAUACCGCAUACGACCUACGGGUGAAAGGGGGGGAUCGCAAGACCUCUCGCUAUUGGAGCGGCCGAUGUCAGAUUAGGUAGUUGGUGGGGUAAAGGCCUACCAAGCCGACGAUCUGUAGCUGGUCUGAGAGGACGACCAGCCACACUGGGACUGAGACACGGCCCAGACUCCUACGGGAGGCAGCAGUGGGGAAUUUUGGACAAUGGGCGCAAGCCUGAUCCAGCCAUGCCGCGUGCGGGAAGAAGGCCUUCGGGUUGUAAACCGCUUUUGUCAGGGAAGAAAUCUUCUGGGUUAAUACCCUGGGGGGAUGACGGUACCUGAAGAAUAAGCACCGGCUAACUACGUGCCAGCCGCCGCCGUAAGAC